rnacentral:tRNA from 1 species
AAAAGAUAAGCUAAAAUUUAAGCUACUGGGCUCAUAUCUCAUUAAUAAAGGUUUUAAUCCUUUUCUUUUUA